GGCCUGACAUUCCUUAUGUCAUUUAAUCCUCACAAUGCCCCUAUGAGGAAGGUGCUGUUAUAGUUUCCAAAGGGGUUAACUGCGGCACAACAAAUUUAAGUAACUGGGAAACAUUGUAGAGCUUGGAUUUGAACCUAUGCAGUUUUAGUCUGUGCCCUGUGUAUGUAAUCAUGGCAUCAAAAUGUACUAUUUUGCUGUUAAGUUGGGAGACUUGAGAUUACUACAUGGAAAGCCUGCCACACCCAGCUCCUAGAAGGAGAUUACUAAGGAUCAUAAUCAAGCCAGUGUAGCUGCUGUCACGUUCCUGGUGAGAUGGUGGCAGGUUUGGGGAUGGCAGCCUUUAGAAGACCCUUGCACUGAGCUCAAGUGUAAGUGAGGACACUCAGACUGGGUUAAGGCUCAUGACCCAUCCCACUACUUCCUUCUGGUCUGGGCCUCUCUGUGGUGAACAGAGUCCACAUCUUCAAAUGAAUUGCAUGUGCUCAAUUGCUGAACCAUGUAGUCCUGCUUUUGUCCAUGCCUGCAUUCUUGUAAGAUGUCCUCACUAUCAUACUUUGGGUCAGAGGGAAGUGGCAGAAGAUGAUGAAGAGCCAAGAAAGAAAGAAAAAAAGUGCAUCCUUGAAUGUGGUGCAGAUCCAAGAAGGCCAAGCUUGAACUCAUCCUGAAGGCAAUGGGAUGUCAUCAAAUAUUUCUACACAGAAGGUGAUAGGCUGUCAUUUAGGUCGCAGCCAUUCAGCGUGGGUCAAAUCUGACAGAAGGUCAAAGCAAUCAAGAUGCCCUCAGGGGACAGCAGUUUAAAUCCACAUAAAGCAGAUUGUUUUGAACGGGCCUGCCCCCCUGGAUAUGUAGUCUGAUUCAGGCUUGCCAAGGGAGCCUGAAGGUGCCACACUUGUGGGUAGUAACCUUCUCCCCAAGUCGCCUCUGAUUCUCACCACAGGGACUCACACAGUGGGAUGGAAGUGAAAGCCCAAGGUCAUGGCUCUGUGCCAAAAAGAAAGGGGACACAUUUCUUUUAUGCUUUUCAGGAGAUAGGUUUGGGGUUUUUGAGUAGCCAAGGAGAAUUUGACAAUUCUUGUCUCAGAAAUAGAUUAGCAUCUGCAUCAGUGGACUCAGUAGAGCAAAUGGCUCUCCCAGUGUGGGUGGGCACCGUCCAAUCCAUCCAGGGCCUGGAUAGAACAAAAAGGCAGAGGAAGGAGGAAUUAUCUCUUUCUGCUUGAGCUGGACAUCCAUCUUUCCCUGCCUUUGGACCUUAGAACUCCAAAUUCCCCAGUCUUUGUAUCCCAGGGACUUACACCAGAAACCCCCGGGUUCUACAGCUUACAGAGGCUAUAUUGUGGGAUUUCAUGGCCUCCCUAACCUUGUGAGCCAAUUUUCAUAAAAAAAUCUCCUGUUAUGUAUUGAAACAGUCAAGCAUCGCUUAAUGACAGGGGUAUAUUCUGAGAAAUGUGUAGUUAGGUGAUUUCAUCAUUGUGCAAACAUCAGAGGGUGUACCUGGAUGGUAUAGCCUACUACAUACCUAAGCUAUGUGAUAUAUCCUAUUGGUUACAAACCUGUGCAGCAUGUGACUGUACUGAAUAAUGUAGUCAAUUGUAACACAAUGUUAAGCAUUUGUGUAUCUAAACAUAAAAAAUUCGC
ensembl:lncRNA